GACGAACGCUGGCGGCGUGCUUAACACAUGCAAGUCACGGGGGCCCGCAAGGGCAACCGGCGAACGGGUGCGUAACACGUGAACAACCUGCCCUCGUGUGGGGGAUAGCCGGGCUAACGCCCGGGUAAUACCGCAUACGUUCCCUUGGAGGAUUCUCUGGGGGAGGAAAGCUCCGGCGCACGGGGAGGGGUUCGCGGCCUAUCAGCUAGUUGGCGGGGUAAUGGCCCACCAAGGCGACGACGGGUAGCUGGUCUGAGAGGAUGGCCAGCCACAUUGGGACUGAGAGACGGCCCAGACUCCUACGGGAGGCAGCAGUGGGGAAUCUUGCGCAAUUGCCGAAAGGCUGACGCAGCGACGCCGCGUGUGGGAGGACGCC
rnacentral:rRNA from 1 species